ensembl:lincRNA 1700018A04Rik RIKEN cDNA 1700018A04 gene
AUGCCCGAGACAACCAUCAGGAUCGUAAACGUGCAACAGCUUUAUACCAGGUUCUACCUGCCAGGUGGCUCUCCAGGUGUGUCCUGUGAUUCCCCACGCUCGCCUGCAGGCUGCACUGUUGCCGUGGUUAUCUCCCAGGCUACCACAGCAGGCAAUUCAAACAGGUUGUGUCAACACUGCAGGUAGACACUGAAUCCGCACCAGCCAAGGCUGAAAACGGUUGCAGCCGCGAGAACUGUGGACUCUGAGAAGCAAGGAAAGCCAUCCGUUACCAGGAGUGUCUCACCUAGUGGAGUUUUCUGGUCAUCUCUGUACUUCAGGCUGGGAUUUGUGUUGGGCUCCAUCUUGCCCGAGUCUUGUGCCUGUAGUCACAGAUGCGCUCAGUUCCUAUGUGUAACUGCUCUCCUGUCUCUGGAAACCACUGUUUGGCUAUUGUCAUCCCAUGGCUCCUACAAUUUUUUCUACUCCCUCUUCCUUGAUCAUCUGUUGUUUAACUUGCUGAGCCUUUGGAGGAAAGGCUGUGAUAUAGAUAUUUGAAGUCUCGUAGGCUCUGCACCCUGACCAGAUGUGAAUCUCUGUACUAACUGGCACCUAUUGCUCCGGAAGACGCUUCAUCUAUGAAAGUAGAUGUAUGGGCAUAAUGAUCUCAGUAAAAAGCAGUUAGAGCCUUGGGAGCCUAGUGCUCACUUUAUGAUUAUUUUACUCCAAGGAAACCUAGCUGUGUGGAUGCAUCCGACAGUUCUCUUGCUGACCAGGGAAGGUUGGGACAGAUCAGAGGCUAGGAGCACACAGAGACCCUGAAGCGGGAGCCUCCCAGUCAACAGCCCAAGAGUAGGAGUUUAAAUGGUGGCAACCAGGGGAGAGACAGUUGCAGAGUCCCCAACCCCUGGGCUCUGCACUUUGCCUCCAUCUUGCACGCCUCCGUUUUCCUUUGCACUACUUUCCCCCUAAAACCUCAUUUCCUUUUUCAACGCCCACAGUGGGGCAGUGUGCAAAGAAUAAAAAUAUGUCUCCUUUGCUACAAACGGGAAUACAGACCCUGUUGGAGUGGCACCUUGGCCCAAUGGCCCUUUGUUCUGCUUCUUAAUGACUAAUUAUCAUGCUAUGAAGUGCUUAUGCAACCGUCAUGGAGUUGCCGCCCUCCUGCUGGAGAGGCUGGACGUGUGUAAUCCUCAGAAGCCAUGACUGGCUCUUGGAGUUGUGCAAGGAGUAAUUACCGAAUCCAGCCGAGGCUUGCUUCUUAUUACAGGCUCCAGGCCUUACCCCCACUAGCUUUACAUGCUCGUUAAUAUUUAAACUGCCAAGCAGCAGCAGAAUAUUUUGUAAGCUUCAGGAAUGGCCCCAGGACUCAGUGCCGGCCUAGGACCCAGGACAGGCCGGUUAGGAGAGGGCAAGAGAUCACGUUCAGGUGGGAUUUCUUUGGGGACGUUUGUCCUUUUACAAAUGUCGGCCCUGGAAGGGCUCUAACUUCCCUCCCUUAGCUAGAGAAAAGAAAUUAAACAUCGCCAGUCUUC